CAAUAGCGUAUAUUAAAGUUGUUGCAGUUAAAAAGCUCGUAGUUGGAUUUCUGAUCGAGACAUCAGGUCGGGUCCGAGAGGAUCAUGUACUUUGAUUUUGUUUUGAUCAUCCUUGGGGAGAGCAUUUCUGGCAUUCAGUUGUCGGGAUUGGGAUCCUCAUCGUUUACUGUGAAAAAAUUAGAGUGUUCAAAGCAGGCCUCGGCCUCUGAAUACAUUAGCAUGGAAUAAUAAGAUAGGACUUUGGUGGUCUAUUUUGUUGGUUUGCACGCCAAAGUAAUGAUUAAUAGGGAUAGUUGGGGGUAUUCGUAUUCAAUUGUCAGAGGUGAAAUUCUUGGAUUUAUGGAAGACGAACUACUGCGAAAGCAUUUACCAGGGAUGUUUUCAUUAA
rnacentral:rRNA from 1 species